GGGGGGGGGCAAGCGUUGUUCGGAAUUACUGGGCGUAAAGGGCGCGUAGGCGGCCCAGCAAGUCCUUCGUGAAAUCCCACAGCUCAACUGUGGAACUGCGGAGGAUACUGCCGGGCUUGAGUCCGGGAGAGGGGAGUGGAAUUCCCAGUGUAGCGGUGAAAUGCGUAGAUAUUGGGAGGAACACCGGUGGCGAAGGCGGCUCCCUGGACCGGUACUGACGCUGAGGCGCGAAAGCUAGGGGAGCAAACGGGAUUAGAUACCCCGGGUAGUCCUAGCUGUAAACGUUGAGCACUUGGUGUGGCGGGUAUCGACCCCCCUGCUGUGCCGAAGCUAACGCAUUAAGUGCACCGCCUGGGGAGUACGGUCGCAAGGCUG
rnacentral:rRNA from 1 species